UAUUUCACUCGAGCUUUUGAGCUGGCCCCUUAAUCCCUGAUGAGAUCGUACCUAAUCCUUUUAGAAUCCAGAUAUAUCGGCUAAAAUUAAUCGAUUCAGGCCCAUCUAGAAUCCCAACUAUUUCGGCUUCCAUCUCCUUCACAAACUCUCUCGUUUUAUUCUCUCAAAAACAAAAGUUGUCGACCCUGUUAUCUCCCUCAUCAGUCAAUGCAACCACCACCAACACUCUCAUUCUCGAAUUUAUGUUAAAUAACUUGGCUUGCCCUGAUUUCAAUAUUUACCCCCUCUCACAUCGCCUCUGCUUCCGGCAACUGCAUCGCUGGUUCUGUCCUCUUCUUUUAAUGCUUUGUUAAAGGCAGGGCGGGUGCCUGGUUUUAGCAUAUCAUUAUGUUAUUGCAAACCACAAUGUCAUUCACCACGAUGCUCUAUAUCUCAAACCCUAAGCCACAAUUUAUCGUCGGCACCAUCACUCCCCUACCAUCUCUCUCUAACUUAGACUUUCGCUGAUCAUUCACCACUAUCUUUACGACACCGCAUCGGCAGCACCAUCGGGGUUUCUUUCCCUCUUACUGUCGCCUUCAAUCACCUGAAAAAUCCUUCUCUACACUUUGCCAUUUCAUAAUUCCUAACGUCACCACCAACAUACCGAUCGUUCCUAUUCCUAUCUGCCACCAACACCUUCGCCUCUGACAUGGUUGUAGAGUACUUGAGCCAAUUAAGGAACACUACCACGUCAUCUAUUAUGAUGAUUUCUAUCAGUUGGCUUUUGUUGUUGCUGUAGAAUUUACUGUAUGACUUGAUGUUCCCUUCAAUCCAGUUUACAGCAAACCCAAGUAGCAUCCAAUCAUUGUGUCGAGUUAUUGAUCUCUAAUGGAUGUUUCAGUGGAGAAAAUAGCCUUCUUUAUCAUCUUUUAUUAUAUUUAUUUCUACAUGAUUUUUCUGAUGGUUCACAAUUUUUUGGUUUUAGGAUAGCAAGGCUUAUGAGAGAUAAACAGAGAAAUGAGAUUGGGGGUCAUCUUUUCAAGACUAGAUGUCAUCUUUUCAAGAACACAAAACUAACAAAUUUACUAUUAAUGGUGUUUGACACACGUUGCAAUUGUAUUUUUUGCUCUUAGAAUAAUGGGUGCUCAUAAUGCAGGAAAAAUAACUUUCAUCAGAAUAAUCAUGAUAAGGUGGGUGGUUCAUUUUCGAAAUCGAUGGACACUAUUACGGAUAUGGAGAUCAUACUAAAGAGAUGAUGAUGGUUGACAUGUUUAUCAUGUAGCUCCAACUAGCAACUUUUCUCUUUACAUUCUCUUUUGGGACAAAACAACACUGUUUUGGGUUGCAAAGUAUGGAAAUAAUCUACAUGAACUUAUUGGCUUAGUAGGAUUGUGAGCUUGGGGAUGUUGGAUUUUUAGUAAAGAGUAUAACGCAAUUGUGAAGGAAAUAUUGGUAGCUCCUUUCCCAGAUCUGCUUCACUUGCUUCAUUAUUCAUCAAACGAAUCAAUUAAUGACAAAAAAAAGUUAAAGUAAAAUGCUAUUAAUGUAUGAA